CACUCAAGUACACACUGCAGAGGGAAAAAAUCACAGUAAACACACCGGACAUAAACCUUUCAGUGCGAGGGGUAAAUGUUCUGUGUGGGGAUUAUUCUUUGAAGAGGAAAAUUACAUCUUACACAACUAAGAGGCGAUGGCCUCCAAUGAUGGCAGCUGUUAUCAUGGCAACAAGUGAGGGAGUCAGGCGAAGGACUUUCACCCAGGAGACUGCUGUCCAUACUGAAGUUACUUCCCAUAAGUAAUGUGACAGAACAUGCAUAAGUGACAUAGUUAUUUUACGCCAUGUUUUCCUAAUCAAAAUUAAACUGCGAGUGGAUGAUGAAGGUGCUGUGUGCCAGUCACUGGUGUGUUAUAAUGGUCUUGUUGUAUUGGGAACAGUGAAACACAUUGUGGGAGUCACUGGCAGUCGACCUAUUCAGAUAUCAUAUCUUAAUUGGUAGUCAAGGUUAACUUUCAACAUUCAAUAAUAAAAAGAAAACAACAAACCCACAAGGGAAACAGAGGCUCUGAUGAUACUGUGCGGUUACAGCCAGCUCAUUUGCCUAAUGACUAAAAAACACAAGAAGAUGUUAAGAAAAACAAACACUGUAGCCUCGUAUUUUAAUGGAUUAGCUCGGCUUCAGCUUUAAUUUCUGUCAAGGAAUUUAUAAUAUUUCAAUGGGCUUAUGUGAAAUAACAUUUAUUAGAGCAAAUGUUUUCUACAGUUAUUGUUAAGUGUUGGGAGAAUCUGCACUGCAUUUGGGGGACCACUAAAGAAUCUGCAGGUUCAAAACAGCAGGAAAGAAACUCCAGCAGUCUCCUCUUUUGUAAUUACUACUUUUGUGUGCCCGGUCUAUAAUUUCCCUCCCUCUAGUCCCUGAGACAUACUCCAGAGAAUGUCUUUAUUCAUUCCCUUGAAUGAAUUGUUAAGUGCCCCUGAAUAAAUAUUGGUUAAUUUGUUCGCUUUUCCUUUUUUCCUUGUGGAGGACAGCGGUGUUAACAUUGAAGAAGAGAAAUCUGUGGUUGAAUUUCAGAGAUAACACAAUGUUGUUUUCAAAAGCUAAAGCUCGAUCCGUGUACAAGUUACGUCUGGUAAGAAAAUAUUUCGUUUUUAGGCAGAUAUUACAUAAUAGAUUUGAACACAGGGAAUGCAAACAUUUGUGAUUUGAAAGUAACACUGUAAUAACCACCAUCAACACAUUGCUUAUUUAUAGUGAGGUAAACUUUAGUAAAUACUUAAAAUGUUAAAUUAAAAAUACUUAUUGAGCAAUUGCAAAUGUUUCUAAGCAAACCAAAAAACUUGAGCUACAGCUUUAUAAUGACCGUCAUAAUAAUGUUUAUAGAUGAAGUGCACAGUAUUUAUCAUUUACAAAGUGUAAAUAUUAGUUGCAAU